UACGUAGGGUGCGAGCGUUGCCCGGAUUUAUUGGGCGUAAAGGGCGCGUAGGCGGCUCGGCACGUCCGUUGUGAAAUCGCCCGGCUCAACUGGGCGGGGUCAGCGGAUACGGCCGAGCUUGAGCAAGCUAGGGGCAAUGGAAUUCCCGGUGUAGUGGUGGAAUGCGUAGAUAUCGGGAGGAACACCAGUGGCGAAGGCGGUUGCCUGGAGCUUUGCUGACGCUGAUGCGCGAAAGCGUGGGGAGCGAUCCGG
rnacentral:rRNA from 1 species